rnacentral:rRNA from 1 species
CUUGGUCAUUUAGAGGAAGUAAAAGUCGUAACAAGGUCUCCGUUGGUGAACCAGCGGAGGGAUCAUUACCGAGUUUACAACUCCCAAACCCCUGUGAACAUACCACUUGUUGCCUCGGCGGAUCAGCCCGCUCCCGGUAAAACGGGACGGCCCGCCAGAGGACCCCUAAACUCUGUUUCUAUAUGUAACUUCUGAGUAAAACCAUAAAUAAAUCAAAACUUUCAACAACGGAUCUCUUGGUUCUGGCAUCGAUGAAGAACGCAGCAAAAUGCGAUAAGUAAUGUGAAUUGCAGAAUUCAGUGAAUCAUCGAAUCUUUGAACGCACAUUGCGCCCGCCAGUAUUCUGGCGGGCAUGCCUGUUCGAGCGUCAUUCCAACCCUCAAGCACAGCUUGGUGUUGGGACUCGCGUUAAUUCGCGUUCCUCAAAUUGAUUGGCGGUCACGUCGAGCUUCCAUAGCGUAGUAGCAAAACCCUCGUUACUGGUAAUCGUCGCGGCCACGCCGUUAAACCCCAACUUCUGAAUGUUGACCUCGGAUCAGGUAGGAAUACCCGCUGAACUUAAGCAUAUCAAUAAGCGGAGGA